GGCUAACGCUGGCGGCGUGUCUUAGCCAUGCAAGUCGAGCGGACUUAUGGGGUAACUUAUAAGUCAGCGGCGGACGGCGGAGUAACACGUAGCUAACCUACCCUCUGGAACGGGGAUAACCUACCGAAAGGUGGGCUAAUACCCGAUGUAGUCAUCCUGUAUAGGGGUGAUGAAAGGUGGGCUUCUGUUUACAAGCUCAUGCUGGAGGAGGGGGCUGCGGCCUAUCAGGUAGUUGGUAGGGUAAUAGCCUACCAAGCCGAUGACGGGUAGCCGGCCUGAGAGGGUGACCGGCCCGAGGGGCACUGAGAUACGGGUCCCACUCCUACGGGAGGCAGCAGGCUAGAAAUUUGGGCAAUGGGGGAAACCCUGACCCAGUGACGCCGCGUGCAGGAAGGAGCCCUUCGGGGUGUAAACUGCUGUCGUGUAGGGAGAAGGGUACUAAGGUGAACAAUCUUAGUACUUGACGGUACUACAGGAGGAAGCCCAGGCUAACCUCGUG
rnacentral:rRNA from 1 species